UACGAAGGGGGCUAGCGUUGUUCGGAAUUACUGGGCGUAAAGGGCGCGUAGGCGGUGUGUCAAGUCAGGCGUGAAAGCCCCGGGCUCAACUCGGAACGGCCAAGUGAUACUGUCGUGCUAGAGUGCAGAAGGGGCAAUCGGAAUUCUUGGUGUAGCGGUGAAAUGCGUAGAUAUCAAGAGGAACACCUGAGGUGAAGACGGAUUGCUGGGCUGACACUGACGCUGACAGCGCGAAAGCUAGGGGAGCAAACGGG
rnacentral:rRNA from 1 species